AACGUAGGUAAUCUACCUUUGGAUUGGGAAUAACCACCGGAAACGGUGGCUAAUACCGAAUAAUGCAGCGGCACCUAAUGGUGACAGUUGUUAAAGCGGGGGAUCGCAAGACCUCGCGUCUAAAGAGGAGCCUGCGGCGGAUUAGCUUGUUGGUAAGGUAACGGCUUACCAAGGCGAUGAUCCGUAGCCGGCCUGAGAGGGCGGUCGGCCACACUGACACUGACAUACGGGUCAGACUCCUACGGGAGGCAGCAGUCGGGAAUUUUGGGCAAUGGGCGAAAGCCUGACCCAGCAACGCCGCGUGAAGGAUGAAAUCCUUCGGGAUGUAAACUUCGCAAGUAACGGGAAGAAUAAGUAAGA
rnacentral:rRNA from 1 species